rnacentral:rRNA from 1 species
GACGAACGCUGGCGGCGUGCCUAAUACAUGCAAGUAGGACGCAGUUGCGAACGGGUGAGUAACGCGUAGGUAACUACCUAUUAGAGGGGGAUAACUAUUGGAAACGAUAGCUAAUACCGCAUACUAGUAGAUGGACCUGCGUUGUAUUAGCUAGGAGGUAGGGUAAUGGCCUACCUAGGCAACGAUACAUAGCCGAGCUGGGAGGGGGAACGAGCACACUGGGACUGGGGAACGGCCCAGAAUCCUAAGGGAGGCAGCAAGAGGGAAUCUUCGGAAAUUGGGGGAAACCUGGACGAGCAAAGCCGGGGGAGUGAAGAAGGUUUUCGGAGCGGAAAGGUCUGUUGUUAAGGAAGCGGUACUUAACCAGAAAGGGACGGCUAACUACGUGCCAGCAGCCGCGGUAAUAC